rnacentral:lncRNA from 1 species
CUUCAUGAAAUAACUUUAUUAUUUUUCAUAGACAGUGCAUAUUGAUACAUUUUCAACAAUAUAGAACAACUAACUUGCCUUUUGGCCAACGGAAGCAACGCCAUUUGGCAGCACAGCACCAAAUAGCAAGGAUAAAGUCUCAUAAACAACUGUACAUUGAAAUCAAAAUGUGAACUCAGAAUCAUGCGGUAUUCAAACUAUAUACAAAUUAAAAAGUAAAUCCCAUUUAAGUCGGUACUUCAUGAAAACAUCAUUGUAGAUUUUUCAGAACGCAAACUUCAUCUCGAUUAUCUAAAAGCUAACAAUAAAGGCUUUUAGAUCAUUUUUGUUGGUACUUGAUCCCUUCUUCACAAUGAAUAAACACGCCCAUGCAUCAGGGGAGGCGGGGGUGGGGGCAGGGGCUUAGUGACCGGGGAGGGGGAAUCCUCUUUAUCUUUUCCCCACUCCCAGCGACAUUUGGACACACACGUGUGUAAUUGCCUGUAAUCGCGGACCCCCCAUCGUCCCUCUUUUGUCUGUAAUCAACUUUUUAGGAAGACCUCCCAUAUGUUUUGUACACGAUUCUAAAUUGGGGACCUUCGGGAAUUGCGGACCCUAUUGUCCUCUUUUGUUCAACGCCCCCUAUUGAAUGCAGAAAUAAACUCGUACCCAUCCAGGUUUGUUAAUGGUGUAAAUCGAGGAUUUUCUAUUGUUGCUCUUUCAUUUUCCUUUGUUUAAACUUUUAUGCAACAGCUCUCAUUGAUUUUGUACAAGUUUCUAAUCCAGGUCGUCUUCGAUAUGGUUUCUGUCCUCAAUUCAUCCAUGAUGUUGCACGUGUGUGUCCUCGAUUUACACCAUAACAUGCACCCACAUACAAACACAGACCCACACAUAGUAAUCUACAUUUCUGGAUUUUCCAUGUAGCCUACAUGUAUUUUGGUCAUACAAUUGCAAUUUGAGGUUUUGCGCGCUGAAUCGCACAAUUUUGCAGACUCUGAAGUGAGAGGUGGUUUCGGUUUGGAGAAGAAACAGGCAUAUUAACUACUCAAUGUUUCAGUCAAUAUUCUUGGGGCCAUCUUCAGAAGAUUAUGAGGCUAGCACAGGCCAAAAUCAGGAUAAAAGUAGGACAUUUGCAAGGACAAAAUCAGGAUAAAAGUAGGACAUUUGCGGGCUUUCAGGAGUAGGUUUCGUUGAUGCUCACCCAUGUCCACAGAUAUCAUAAGCCUCAUUUAGCAUGUUCUGUACUCACAACACUUGUGCUCCAUCCUCAACUAAGCUCUUGGAAGUACAUUGUACAAUUGCAGUACUCCUGAGCCCGAGCCCUUCAUUGUGUAAUUUACAUACGAAAGUGUGCGUAACAAUGUUAUGAAAAAUGAUGCAAUGAAAUUUAGUUUUUCGGAGUUGUAGGACAAAAAACAGGAGCUUCAAGAAACAAGUAGGAAAAGUAGGAGGAACAAGGUAAAAAAAAAAUACUACGAAAAAUAAGGAAAAACUACGAAUACUUCAAAGCCUGCCAGCACAAAAAGGGAAAACUUUGCAAACAGGUUCACACUUUCACACUAUGUGUCAACAUAAUUACAAAAUACUGUUUGUCCCUUGAAUACACUACGACUGCAACCUUGCAAACGAAUACUUGAAUUGAUUAAUCUCAUUGUUUUAGUGUCAUGCAACUAAAGCACGAAAGUUGGGCAAAUAAUUUCCAAAUAAGAAUGAAGAACAAGAAAUCUUACAAAUUACACUCAAACAAUCUUCAGUUGGGACGAAGAAGACAUAUGUAGCACGAUACGAGAUGGAAGGAACCCCCCCCCCCUCCUUUGUGUUGGUCAUUGUGUUGCCAGAAUCUCAGGAAUUCGUUUAAGAUAUCUAGGGGGAUGUGUUAGGUAACAAUAGUCGAGGGUUUGCAUAGGGUAUAGGGAGAUUGGGGGGGGGGGGAACCCUUCGUCUCAAAUCGUGCUGGGUAUAAAAGAAGACAUUUCACAGUUUAUACAGUGUAAUGAUCAACGUAUGUACACAAUAUUUACAAGGUUUAACAUUUUCCACACGGAUUGAAAAGUCAAACUCUUUAAAAUUACAAUUUAAAAACUGCCUGAUUACAGACACGUACAGAUCAGCUAAUUCAGCUGGAUUUUAACAAUUAAAGACAUGUACAUGUAGGGCCUAAUGCAAGAUCCAUUACACAUGUCAAUACUGGUAUGUACAUGUAUAUUGAAGUGAAUGUUGGAUUAAGGAACAACUUCAAAAAAUAACACAAAUUAUUUAAUCUAAAAUUACAUUUUUAAAUUGGUAUUGUUGGCGGUUGCAAUCUAUCUCUUCAUCCAACCUUAACAUUGCUAAAAAAAA